rnacentral:rRNA from 1 species
GAAAUCGCAUCUCCUAAUACGGGGUGUGGAUGACGGUACCAGCAUAAGAAGCACCGGCUAACUACGUGCCAGCAGCCGCGGUAAUACGUAGGGUGCGAGCGUUAAUCGGAAUUACUGGGCGUAAAGCGUGCGCAGGCGGUUUCGUAAGACAGAGGUGAAAUCCCCGGGCUCAACCUGGGAACUGCCUUUGUGACUGCGAGGCUAGAGUAUGGCAGAGGGGGGUGGAAUUCCACGUGUAGCAGUGAAAUGCGUAGAGAUGUGGAGGAACACCGAUGGCGAAGGCAGCCCCCUGGGCCAAUACUGACGCUCAUGCACGAAAGCGUGGGGAGCAAACAGGAUUAGAUACCCUGGUAGUCCACGCCCUAAACGAUGUCAACUAGGUGUUGGGAGGGUUAAACCUUUUAGUACCGUAGCUAACGCGUGAAGUUGACCGCCUGGGGAGUACGGCCGCAAGGUUAAAACUCAAAGGAAUUGACGGGG